AGAGUUCACAAGUUUGAGGCCAUAGUAGACGCGUUCAUGGCACGGCCCUGUCAGAUUCCAAUGAAUAUGCAAAUUAUGCU
rnacentral:ribozyme from 1 species